AGCCUCUGAGCCCCGGCCUCGGCAUCAGUGCGGUUGACACCGGGGCCAUCACCAUCUGAUAAUAGGUUCUGUUUGGAACAGCUGCCUGGUGACAAGUAUAAUAAAACGUAUUAACGAGGCCAUUAUUACUCCCUAAUUAAAAGCUAAUAACUAAGAGUUAAUUGCCUUUAAAAGAUGAAGCAAGGCUGGGCUGGGACUUAUCUCUGUUUUCCUUUGCUUGCCUGGAUAGGCUGAUAUUUGGGAACUAAUUAAUUGAGUCGAAUCUUACAGGAAACUAAUAUCUCCUCUGCCAUUGCGGCUGUUGGAUUAAAAAGCGUUUGCUGUGUGUCUGGGCAUUUCUGUGGAAAGGUCUCCUGUGUCCACUGUUCUUGCCGGGGCGGGGGUGGUGGUGGUGAGGCUUCAAGGUGCGGCUAUGGGGGGCUGCUUGUCCUCUCCUUUCCUGCUGAUUCUCCCGCAAUGGUAGCCCAAGCAUCCAUGCAAUUUGUGAGUCAGAAUGCUCAGAUGCUGUUCCAGGGAACAGACGGGCCGAGCUUAUAUCACAGAUCUAUCGUCGUCAUCAUCAUCACCGUCAUUAAAAAAAAAAAUCAGGCUAGGCUCUGUGGCUCAUGCCUGUAAUCCCAGCAUUUUGGGAGGCCAAGGCAGGUGGAUCCCCUGAGGUCAAGAAUUCCAGACCAACCUGGCCAACGUGGCAAAACCCCCUCUCUACUAAAAAUACAAAA